rnacentral:rRNA from 1 species
AACGAACGCUGGCGGCAGGCCUAACACAUGCAAGUCGAACGCGACCUUCGGGUCGAGUGGCGCACGGGUGAGUAACGCGUGGGAAUCUGCCCUGUGGUACGGAAUAACAUCGAGAAACUGGUGCUAAUACCGUAUAUCCCCUGAGGGGGAAAGAUUUAUCGCCAUGGGAGGAGCCCCGCGUAGGAUUAGCUAGUUGGUGGGGUAACGCCUACCAAGGCGACGAUCCUUAGCUGGUCUGAGAGGAUGAUCAGCCACACUGGGACUGAGACACGGCCCAGACUCCUACGGGAGGCAGCAGUGGGGAAUAUUGGACAAUGGGCGGAAGCCUGAUCCAGCCAUGCCGCGUGAGUGAUGAAGGCCUUAGGGUUGUAAAGCUCUUUUACCCGGGAUGAUAAUGACAGUACCGGGAGAAUAAGCCCCGGCUAAACUUCGUGCCAGCAGCCGCGGUAA